rnacentral:tRNA from 2 species
GGCGCUUAGCUCAGCUGGUUCAGAGCGUCUGCCUUACAAGCAGAGGGUCGGGGGUUCGAAUCCCUCAGCGCCCA